rnacentral:tRNA from 1 species
GCUCUCGUAGCUCAGUCGGUAGAGCGCAUCCAUGGUAAGGAUGAGGUCAUCGGUUCAAUCCCGUUCGAGAGCUCCA